UACGGAGGGGGCUAGCGUUGUUCGGAAUUACUGGGCGUAAAGCGCGCGUAGGCGGCUUUGUAAGUUAGAGGUGAAAGCCUGGAGCUCAACUCCAGAAUUGCCUUUAAGACUGCAUCGCUUGAAUCCAGGAGAGGUGAGUGGAAUUCCGAGUGUAGAGGUGAAAUUCGUAGAUAUUCGGAAGAACACCAGUGGCGAAGGCGGCUCACUGGACUGGUAUUGACGCUGAGGUGCGAAAGCGUGGGGAGCAAACAGG
rnacentral:rRNA from 1 species